UACGUAGGGGGCUAGCGUUGUCCGGAAUCAUUGGGCGUAAAGAGCGUGUAGGCGGCCAUGCAGGUCAGCUGUGAAAACUCGAGGCUCAACCUCGAGACGUCGGUUGAAACCGUAUGGCUAGAGUCCGGAAGAGGAGAGUGGAAUUCCCGGUGUAGCGGUGAAAUGCGCAGAUAUCGGGAAGAACACCUAUGGCGAAGGCAGCUCUCUGGGACGGUACUGACGCUGAGACGCGAAAGCGUGGGGAGCGAACAGG
rnacentral:rRNA from 1 species